UGUUGCCCGCGGUCUCGAAAGACUCCAUUAAUGACAAAUGCGCUGCCUGUGGCCUCGGCUACUCCGGAGGCUGAGGCGGGAGCAGCGCUUGAACCCGGGAGCUCUGCGCUGUAUGCGCUGUGCCCAUUACGCGGCGACACCGAGUUCCGCAUCGGUGUGGUGACUUCCCGGGAGCAGGAACCACCAGGUUCCCCAAGGAGGGGGGAACCAAGCAGGGCACAACUCCUGUGCUGCUCGGUAGUGGGAUCGCGCCUUAUAUUCUCAAGCAAAAGAGUUUGAAGACCAGAGCUUUAGGGCCUCACUACUCAAAUGGUGGUCCAGCAACAAGCAGCAUCAGCGUCACCUGGGAGUGUGUUAGAAAUGCCACCAUCAUCAGCGUGAAACCAACAGUGAUCUGUCUAACCCCAAAGAUGCCAAAGAAGUACUUUGGACAUCUGGGAAUGUGUUUACACAGGACAGACAAGGCACCCAGCUGCUGCUUCCCUGAUCCCAGCUAAACCGUUUACCAAGAGUCAAGAAGUGUCUGGAGAGCUGGAGGCCAGAGCCAUAGGAGGGGACAGACAUGAAAAAGGCAAAAUCGGCUGGGCACAGUGGCUCAUGCCUGUAAUCCCAGCACUUUGGGAGGCCGAGGCAGCCGGAUCACGAGG